rnacentral:rRNA from 1 species
AUAAACGCUGGCGGCGUGCCUAAUACAUGCAAGUCGAUCGAUAGAAGUCCAGCUUGCUGGACGGAAAUAGAGGCGAACGGGUGAGUAAUACGUAAGCAACCUGCCCACGAAGACCGGGAUAAUCCCUGGAAACGGGGACUAAGACCGGAUAGGUACACAGACCGCAUGAUCUGUGUAUUAAAGGAGAGAGACACUGGUGGAUGGGCUUACGGUGCAUUAGCUGGAUGGUGAGGUAACGGCCCACCAUGGCGAUGAUGCAUAGCCGGGCUGAGAGGCUGAACGGCCACAUUGGGACUGAGACACGGCCCAGACUCCUACGGGAGGCAGCAGUGGGGAAUAUUGGGCAAUGGGCGCAAGCCUGACCCAGCAACGCCGCGUGAGUGAAGAAGGUUUUCGGAUCGUAAAGCUCUGUUGUUGGUGGAGAAGGAUAGAGGUAGUAACUGGCCUUUAUUUGACGGUAAUCAACCAGAAAGUCACGGCUAACUACGUG